rnacentral:rRNA from 1 species
CCGCGGUAACACCGGCAGCCCAAGUGAUGGCCGCUAUUAUUGGGCCUAAAGCGUCCGUAGCCGGCCGGGCAGGUCCGUCGGGAAAUCCACUAGCUCAACUAGUGGGCGUCCGGCGGAAACCGCUCGGCUUGGGACCGGGAGACCAGAGGGGUACGUCCGGGGUAGGAGUGAAAUCCCGUAAUCCUGGACGGACCACCGGUGGCGAAAGCGCCUCUGGAGAACGGAUCCGACGGUGAGGGACGAAAGCUAGGGUCUCGAACCGGGUUAGAUACCCGGGUAGUCCUAGCCGUAAACGAUGCUCGCUAGGUGUGGCGCAGGCUACGAGCCUGCGCUGUGCCGUAGGGAAGCCGUGAAGCGAGCCGCCUGGGAAGUACGUCCGCAAGGAUGGAACUUAAAGGAAUUGGCGGGGGAGCAC